AGUGAGAACCCGAUCAAGCUUUAUCAUGCAGCCCAGAAGGGUGGGGGAAAGAAAAAGAAUUAGGAGAAAAUGUUGUAAAAGUAAUGAGAUAAUAUGAGAAUGUGCUUUGGGAACUGCGAAUCUGGAGUCACUGGUCCAUGAGGAAUCUAGGAUAAGAAGAAGGAAGCUGUGAAGAAUGGUUGGCUAACAGUGCUGGCAAGGAAUUCAGAUCAACAUACCUCUCAAAAGAAUGGAAGUCUCUUAAACUCAGGAUUUGGAUUGCCAUGGGAACUUUUCAGAAUGGACUUUCACAAAAGCUUUGCUCUGAGAGCAUGGAAGUUGGCUACAACGUUGCCUGGGAACAAUACAAAGGAGGAUGGUUUUGAAUGUCAGUAACUUUUCUGAAUAUCCAGCCUACAAAAUAAAACUUUUUCUUUAAUUGUAAAGUAACAAAAGACCUCUGUAAAUAUUUGAAAAAGAAUAGAGAAAAUUAAACCAUACCAUUCAGAUA
rnacentral:lncRNA from 1 species